CUAGUUAUAACCAAUAGACUCAUCAAACCAAGAUUAUCUUUCCAAAUACAACCAAAAACACAUAAAACAACAAAAGCAUUUAUGAUCUAUUGCCUCACUGAUUGAAUCUCAUUAUUAUCUUCCAGGCCUUUUGUACAGUUGCAAUAAGGCAAUAUGACCUUCACAACAUGGACUCGUGGCUCAUAUAUUAAUAAUCCUUUGUGCCCUGAUGCAGCUGGGAGAAUGGAUGCUUGCAGUUCGCUUAUAAGCCAGAAAUAGAUGAAUGGAGAGAAGAUUGAAAGAGGAUUGGAGAGGAUUGAAAGCUGGACGCUAGUACACUCGUUCUUCAGCGAACAAAGUUUCUGAGAACUGAGUAUGGGGACAUAUUCUUGCUGCAGACUUGAAUACACCUAACUUUUUAUAAAAUGUGUGCAUGAGUUAGACUCCAGAAAAAAACACACACUGCAGCAGCAGCAAUUCAGCAUUGCAUGAAGCACAGCUCAGCUUCACUAUCUUCUCCACUGCCAGGCCCACCCAGCAAUACAACUCCUUGUAGUGCCUUUUAACUGAACAUUUUUGUUCAACAAUGAACUGUUCCAGAUUGUUAAGGUUUCAGGGAAACUAAACUGCAUUUUGCUAAAAAUCAAAACAAGAAGAAAAAGUCCUUCAGGAACUGUAAACAGUCAGAAAUUAUUUUUAAAACGGCCCUUCCCCACUGGUCUUAUUUGAAGAAUCCCAGAACCUAAGAGGUGGUUAUUGCUGAGAUCUGCCAACUCUGAGAGAGCCAAAGCAUUAUUUGUAUAUAAUCCCAUCAACAUCCUUGAGAGAUACCUGCAGUGAAGAAAAACAAGCAUGAAGAUCAGUGUCAACUAUGGCCUAAUGUGAAGAUUCACAAAGAGGAUCUCUAGGAAUGGACUUCAUGUAAUUAUGGAUUUGUUUAUUCUGGCAGCUUGGAAUCUUGUUUCAUUUACCUUUGUUAAUAAUCACUAGUGUAUCACUAGCUGGCAAUAAAAAAACAUCCAGGAUCAUAAAAACUAGAUAGAAAACCAGAAAUAGAGAUGAAACCACUAAACUAAACUAAACUAAACUAAACUAAACUAAACUAAACUAAACUAAACUAAACUAGGCUUUUCCCAGAUUAACCACAGGAACUCCCUUUUUGAUGAUCCAAGUAGAGGUGCCCUGUGAGACAGACUGGCAUUCUGUCUCAUGGCAGAGUUAUUGCCUUGCCAGAACUAGAACAAAGUGUUUAGCACUUUUCAUAUAAAUUUCAUUUAAAAUGAAUUUUUGUCCUAAACCUUGCUUUAUCUACUUCCUUUAAUGCUCAGUGAGAGGAAAAUAAAUGCUAGCAUUGAUUCUACCCCUUCUCCCAAGGAAUGCUUGUUAAUCUUUCCCAGGAUGCUGGGAAAUGCCAUGUCAUAGCCCACAGGAAGGAAAAGCCCAAGAAGCCUAAAAUUGCCUGUAUUUCUAAGAAGGGCUGGGGUGGAAAAUCUGGGCUGGCAUACAAAAGCCAGCAGAAUGUAAUUGUUUGUGAGGUUAUGCAGACCUAUGUCAUACUUAGCUGUGUGACCUUGAGCAAAAUACUUAAUCUCUCAAGCUCAUGUUUCUCAUCUAUAAAGGAUGUUUGGUAAGAUUACUUAACUCAAAGGAUCACGGUGAAUAUUUUACAAUUUAAUAAUGAAUGUAGACUGCUCAACACAAUGCCUUACACAAAGUAAAUACACAAUUUAUUCAUUCAUUCAACAAACACUGAAUGAGUGCAUAGAAUAUUCCAGGCAAUGUUCUAUAGUGACUGGGACAACCAACGCAACAGGCAAAAAUCCCUGCUUUUAUACUACUUGCCAUCUAUUGUUCAUAAACUGGAUAGUAUUUUAGACAGUGAUGAUUGCUGUGGAGACUAUAUAAGAGAGAAGGGGGAUGGCGAAUGGGAAUCAUAUGCUAUUUAAACAGAGUAGCCAGCAAAGACCAUACUGAUUCAGUGAAAUGUGAGUAAAAAACUGAAGAGGUGAGGGAAUGAGCCAUGCAGAGUAAUUUCAAAGGCCCAAAUGGAGAAGCCUGUCUGCUGUGUUGGCAGGUCAGCACAGAGGCCAGCAUGGAGGCUAAGCAUGGGGAGAAUCAGGAGGAGACAGGAUCAGGGAGGUAAGGGCAUCGCUCACUAGGUAGGGCUUCCAAGCUUUGCUUUUACACUGAGUGAACUGGGAAGCAGCUGAAAAGGUCUAGGAAGAAGAAUAACAUGAUCUGAUUUACAAUUUAACAGGACCAUAUUAGGAGUGGUUUGCAAAAGAGAUUGGGCAGAAACAGAGAGAAGAGUUAAGAGACUAAUGCAAUAACAGAGGUGAAAGUUUAUGGGGGCUUAAACAAGAUGAUGACAAUAAAAAUGCGAAGAUGUGACCAGAUAGAGUCUAAAUGUAUUUUGCAGGGAGUCAACAGGAUUUACUAAUGAAUUGAAAUUGCAAUGGAAGAAACAGAAAUUAAGAAUGACUCCAGAGGUUUCAGCCUAAGCAACUGGAAUAAUUGCCUUUAAUUGAUGGGAAAGACUAAAGAAGAUGCAGGUUUGGGGAGGGCAAGUUGUUGGGGAAUAACUGGAGCUCAUUUUGGGACAUGUUAAAUUUUGCAUUCAUUUUCAACGUCAAGUGGAGAUAUAAAGCAAUCAGUAAAAUAUCAGUCUAGGCUGAAAUCAGAUGUAAACAUGGGCAUCACUUCUACAUAGAUGCUAUCUAAAACCACAGAACAAGAUCAGAUCACGAAGGGAGUGAGUAUAAACAGAAAGAAAAGUCCAUGAAGAGAGUCCUGGGACAUUUUAAUGUUUAGAACUCAGGCAAGUGAGGAGAAACCAGCAAAGAGAGAAUUAGAGGAAAUCCAGGAUAUAUACAUAAUGUAAACUUCCUAUACAUUAAAUUUGUUCACCUAAUUAUGCAGGUAGCCAUGCAUCUAUUCAUCUAGUAUAGCAAAACAAGUUAAGAAAAUGGGCUCUAGAAUGAGAUUAACCUGAAUUCAAAUCCAGAUUCCCUCACUUACCAGCUCUGAGACCCUGGGAAGUUACUUAACCUUGCUGUCCCUGCUUUCUUGAACUAUGAAAUAAGGAGAAUAGCACCAACCUUACAGAAUUGUGAGAAUUAAGUGAAGUUUCGUAUCUAAAGCAUAAGGCUUGGUAUACCAAAAGCUCAAUAGAGAAUGCUAUGGUUUUUAUAAUUAUUAUUCAAGUACUUUUUGAGCACCUGUAAUGGAUGCACAAAUAACCAUGUCAGGUACAGGGAAGCGGAUUCUACCUCAGAAGGAUAACAACCUAACCAACAAUAAAAGAUACAUAAAAAUUUCAAAAAACAUUAUACAGACCAUGGUCCCCAAGACAAGCUCUUUGAGGACAGUGACAUUUUCUGUAUGGUUUAUACAAUAUCUUUAGGGAGUGGGACAUGGCACAGAGCUGGCUUGCAAGUGUUUCAUGAAUGAAUGAAUCAGAUUGAGAUGAAGAAACACUUUCAGUUUGUAGCAGAAAGAGAUUACUGGGAGUUGAAACGGACAGAGGACAUUUCAUUCACAAGACAGGAAGAAAAGUUUUAGGUAAUUCUUUUUCAUGCAAUGAACCAUAAUGUACAUAAAUAGGAAAGGUGGAAGAAUAGUCUGAAUUAUAAGAAACUAUAGCCUUGGAAAUUAUUGAAUAAACCCUGGAAACUAAAUAGAUAGAAGGAAGAUCAUUUUUGCUGCUGUGUCUUGUUUUAGACAAGUUUAUUUUGUUUCAUGUUUUUCACUGAUAGAAUGCAAGCCUUUUCAUGAGAGAUAACACAAAUAAAAGCUAAAUGUCACUGAGCUCUUACUAUGCCAGGCAUUCUUGUAAGCAAUUUAUAUCCAGUUACUCCUCAAAAUAAUCCUUUAAGAUAGAUAUUACUCCCGCUUGAUAGAAGAAGUUUGAACAAUAAAUUUUAACUAACACUUCAAAGUGGUAGAAUUGGAACUGAUACAUAUGUGAGACCAUAACUAUUACAGCGCUUCCUAUGGGGACCAUAUGAGUCCAGGAGCCAAAAUACUGACAGAUUUUCAAAGACUCUUUUGGGUAAACAAAGCCAUAAAACAGACAAUGUAGUCAAAUUAAUGAUAAAAAUAAUAGUCAAGAUCACUCCUCUGGCUUACUUGAUUUUAAGUAAAUCAAUGUAGAAGGUAUUUUCUAAGUUGGUUUGGUAGUUCAGAUAUUUGUGAAUGAAGUAAAUAAAUGAACGAAACCAGUGCAUUCCUAAAAUUUCCUCAAUUUCUGAAUGACCUGGUGUUUCCACAUUCUGGAACAUCAAAACUUAUCUAGGCCUUCUUUUCUUCUCUAUAAAGAAUAGGAAUUGUUAUUACUUUUGAGAAGUAAAUCGCUAUCUUUUUUGUAGCAAGGCUUUUGUAAGAAGCUUUCUUACAAAAGGAAGGAUUUUGGAAGGAUUUCUAAGAAACAUUUGCAUCUGUUUUGGUAGAAUAGUUUCUAUGCAACACUGCAAUGUCUUAGAGCAAUGCUUAGUGAUUAUUAAUAUAUGUAAAAAAUGAAAAAGUAAAAUAUGGUACACUGAAACCCAUUGAUUCAAAUGAGCCAAAAGACAUAUGCAUUUGUUUUCCCCAAAAUGAAAGACCAGGACAAUGACACCACACCAGGCACCUGUGCACAUGCAGGUGGGGGCUGGAGCCAGUAGAUGUCAUACAUUGUCUUUAUUAGCAUGUUCCACACUAUAUUACUCCACAAGCCAAGCAGGGCUGCACACUGCCUACUUUCUAAGUAGUAAGACAUGCAGGAAGUUGUUUUCUAGGUAGGGAGUAUUCCCCCACCAGUCUAUUAAAUUUGCAGUUUCAUACACUAAAAAAAAAAUUUAGCAGCAUUGAAUAGUUUCUGAUUUGAAAAAUAAUAAAUAUGCACAUUAGAAUAUUUAGAAAAUAUAAGUAAACACACACACACAAAUUAAAAUGAAAGUCAUAUUGCCGCUACCCAGUGAUAACCCCUUAGAUUCACAUAAUUUUGAAUCAAAAUAUAAGUCAUUUGGAGAGAUAAUAGAGCUGUGGCUGGCUGUAUUGUUUCUGUUGGUACUCUUUUCGCAUUACUAUAAAGUCAUUUUGUGACUUUUUUAAGGUACUAAGGCUUAGUCACAAUUCUUCAUUUUACAAUGAGAAAACUAAGGUUCAAAGGAGAAGAAUGGCUGGCUGAAGAACACACACUGCUUGGCUCUGGAAAGAACUUAACCGCUGACAUUUUAACUCCUGUGCUAACCUUCCAAGGCAAUAUCCCACUGUUCUAUCUCUAUGGCUUUGGGUCUUUAUAGUGUUUUGCUUUUCAAAUUUCCCUAUAAAUUUGAAAUACCCUAUUAAGCUUUGGGUUAGAAAAUUUCAGUGAGUAUUCUUCCCAGAUGCAGGCCCUUCGAGGGAACCAUAGAGCACUAAUGAGUAAGAUAUCACCCUAGUCCUCAGUUCAGCCCCACUCCUCAUGUGGCCCUUCUUUCCUAUCACAGCCCCUAGGGUCCUGCCUGUUUCCCUUUAAUAUCUUGAACUCUACCAUCAUCCCCUUUCUUUUGGAGUUAGUAAUCAUCAUAUCAACAAUUGAUUGACUGCUUAAUAUAUGGCAGGUGCCAUACUAUACAUACAUAAUCUAAUUUAACCCUUAUGAUAACUUUGUGUUCAGUUUAUUAUCUCUAUUUUCUAGAGAUAGAAAUAUAGGAGGCAUGUUGCCAAGGUCACAAAAAAGUAAAUGAUGAACUCAGACUUGAAACUAGGAUUGUCCAACUCUCAACUCUCUCUCCUCCUGUCUGGAUACUGAGAAAGAUGAACUCUUCCAAGUUCUUGCCAUCAAGGCUGUUCUUGAAAUCCUUUUAGCGUCAAGAGUUUUACUGUAGAUCACUCUGGGGAAAUUGGAAAGAGAAAAUUAAAGCAACUGAUGCAACUUUGGACUUAGUCCCAUUUUCAAGGUUUAGCAACCCAAUUUAGUAGCUGUGUAACCUGACCUUUGGUAAAUUACUUGAACUUCUGAGCCUAAUUUCCUUUUAUGCAAUUACAAAGUUUUGAGCAUCUCCCCCAAAACUAGAGUACCUAUACAAUUUACCAUUAGAAUCAGUAGAGUUUGAAAGUGAAACAGGGUUCUGUUAAUAAUUUUGGUGGUACAACAGGUGUGAAACAGGAGUUGCCUGAGCAAAUCAGUACCUAUGGUCCUUUAAAGGUAACGCCAAAGAACCUGCCACAUGGUCCAGCAUACAAUUUUAGGGUUUCAACAUUUUAGAAUCCUUUCUUUUCCAUAUACAUGAAGCAUCAAAUAGCAUAGUGGUUUUCAACUAGGAAUAAUUUUGCCAACCAGGGGAAAUUUUGCUUCCCAGGGAAUAUUUGGCAAUACGUGGAGAUAUUUUUGGUUGUCACAACUGGGGCAGGGGAUGUGACUGGCAUCUAGUGGGAAGAGGUCAAAGAUGAUGCUAAACAUCCUACAAUGUACAGGACAAGCCCCUACAACAAGAAUUAUUAAUGCCCAAUGGCAACAAUGCCAAGGUAGAGAUUUGGUGAAACUGUAUUCUUCAACGCCAGAGUAGAAGACAUGGUAGAGAAAGUCUGCUGCCAAGGACGCAAGUUCAAUUUGCUUCUCACAGUUUAAUUGAGGGUCAGCCCAAACAUGAAGCUAAUGAAAUCAGCCCAUUUGGAAUUCAAGAGAAAUGGAACAUUAUUUUGAUAGUUUAAUUACUAUAAACAGAUUUGCAAAUGGGCCUAUCACCACCGUGAAAUCAUCUCACAUCUCAGAGACAACUUGCUAUGCAAGAAAACAAGAGGCCAAGUACCAUGUACAUAAUGCAAUUUGCAUGCAUUCAAAGAACAGCAGUUCAUGUGCAAUUUACACAGGUGCUUCUCUAAAGAUAUGAAACUAUAAUUAGCAAUAAUAAAGCUUUCAUCUGACUUGCCUUCCCUAAGACGUGCUCUGAUAAUGAAAAUAAGUUUAAUGUUUUAAGCCCCAUGCCUAAAAUAAAGCAACUAUUUGGGGGAACCAAAGUUCCUUGAAAGAGAAUGAGCAAUUAUCCACAACUCUAUGGGCCAUAGUUAAUUGAUCAUUCAUGGCAUUUUCACACUCGCAGAUAAACAUGAAAGAGAUAUUGAAGUUUUAAAGCUCUCUUCAUAUUCACACCCCACCCCCACCCCCAGCCCCAUCAAGCCAAGCUUCAGUAUUCAUUGUUGCAUUCAGAGUAUGCAGCUUGGCUCAGGAGACUGGCUGUAAGACUGAAUAUGUAAACUCAUAUUUAUCUCAACUCUUAAGGCAAAUAUAGUUCAUAAAAAUACAGUUGCAAGCAAAACAUCAUCUCUGUUUCUCUGUGGAAAGAACAUUUGGUAGUUGUGAAAGUCUAAAAACUACAGUAAAGAGAUUUUAACUCUGUGUGUGUGUGUGUGUGUGUGUGUGUGUGUGUGUGUUCUAAGUUUCUUUCUGCUCUAUCAGCUGGCCCCUCCUUACCAGGAAGGAUUUUUUCCUGAUUAUCGUGAGAGUGAACCAGUUCAAACAACUCCACAGAUCACUGCUAUUUGGUACAAUACAAUGUCCAGCUGGCCAGCUGCAUGAGCUCUUAAGAUUAGUGGUUGUUUAUGGGCUUCCUACAGUGGUGUCUCUUCUGAGCAGGAAAGGGAAUGAAAGGCACCUGUUCAGAGACCCUCCCACACAAAGAUGUAUUUUCUGACAUAAAUCUAUGUAUCCAGGCAGAAAAAGUGGAGAGGGGCAAGAAGGAGUGAUGUCUUCCAGCUACUGCAGAUGAGGGAGAGGAAUACAAAGUGAUACCAGUUGGGGAGACAGAGCAGCUUAGAUGUGCAGAAGCUUCAAGAAAUAGCACAUCUUGGGUUAGGCUAAUAAGGAGAAGUUUCUACUUUCAACUUUUCCUGAUCUGCUUUGUCAUCUUUUAAAAACUAACCUUCCAAAAAAAGAAAAAAAAACAAAACUAACUUUCUUCUCAGAUGGCUUCAGAUAGAAUUAAUCAUUCCAAUCUGGUGCCACCAUAGUAGAGCAUAUACGGUUCUAUUACACUCGUUGGACUAUAUAGUAACAAAUUUACUUAUUGCCUGUGAGUUCACUUAGAGCACUUGUGAUUUCCCACUGCUCAACGCUGUGUCUGGCAUGAAGCAAGGCAUGAAAUAAAGCUUUGACCAAUUAAAGUAAAAUGGUAUGAGAACCACACAAUAAUGUUGUGUUGGUAUGCUAUUGUUCUGAAGUAUAGUCAAUUACGUAAUGGUUAACAGCUG
rnacentral:lncRNA from 10 species